GAUGAACGCUGGCGAUAUGCUUAACACAUGCAAGUCGAACGGACUCUUCGGAGUUAGUGGCGGACGGGUGAGUAACGCGUGAGAAUCUGGCUUUGGGUUCGGGACAACCACUGGAAACGGUGGCUAAUACCGGAUGUGCCGAGAGGUAAAAGAGAAAUUGCCUGAAGAUGAGCUCGCGUCUGAUUAGCUAGUUGGUGAGGUAAAGGCUCACCAAGGCAGCGAUCAGUAGCUGGUCCGAGAGGAUGACCAGCCACACUGGGACUGAGACACGGCCCAGACUCCUACGGGAGGCAGCAGUGGGGAAUUUUCCGCAAUGGGCGAAAGCCUGACGGAGCAAUACCGCGUGAGGGAAGAAGGCUCUUGGGUUGUAAACCUCUUUUCUUAGGGAAGAACAAAAUGACGGUACCUAAGGAAUCAGCAUCGGCUAACUCCGUG
rnacentral:rRNA from 1 species